rnacentral:rRNA from 1 species
CACGUAGGGGGCGAGCGUUGUCCGGAAUCAUUGGGCGUAAAGAGCUCGUAGGCGGCUCAGUAAGUCGGGUGUGAAACCCUCAGGCUCAACCUGGGGACGCCACCCGAUACUGUCGUGACUGGAGUCCGGUAGGGGAGUAUGGAAUUUCCGGUGUAGCGGUGAAAUGCGCAGAUAUCGGAAGGAACACCAGUAGCGAAGGCGGUACUCUGGGCCGGAACUGACGCUGAGGAGCGAAAGCGUGGGGAGCGAACAGG